rnacentral:rRNA from 1 species
CUCCUAAGGCUAAAUACUCUCUAGUGACCGAUAGUGAACCAGUACCGUGAGGGAAAGGUGAAAAGCACCCCGGAAGGGGAGUGAAAUAGAACCUGAAACCGUGUGCUUACAAGUAGUCAGAGCCCGUUAAUGGGUGAUGGCGUGCCUUUUGUAGAAUGAACCGGCGAGUUACGAUUUGAUGCAAGGUUAAGCAGUAAAUGUGGAGCCGUAGCGAAAGCGAGUCUGAAUAGGGCGUUUAGUAUUUGGUCGUAGACCCGAAACCAGGUGAUCUACCCUUGGUCAGGUUGAAGUUCAGGUAACACUGAAUGGAGGACCGAACCGACUUACGUUGAAAAGUGAGCGGAUGAACUGAGGGUAGCGGAGAAAUUCCAAUCGAACCUGGAGAUAGCUGGUUCUCUCCGAAAUAGCUUUAGGGCUAGCCUCAAGUGAUGAUUAUUGGAGGUAGAGCACUGUUUGGACGAGGGGCCCCUCUCGGGUUACCGAAUUCAGACAAACUCCGAAUGCCAAUUAAUUUAACUUGGGAGUCAGAACAUGGGUGAUAAGGUCCGUGUUCGAAAGGGAAACAGCCCAGACCACCAGCUAAGGUCCCAAAAUAUAUGUUAAGUGGAAAAGGAUGUGGCGUUGCCCAGACAACUAGGAUGUUGGCUUAGAAGCAGCCAUCAUUUAAAGAGUGCGUAAU